AACGCGAAGAACCUUACCCAGGUUUGAAAUACAGAGGACGUUAUCAGAGAUGAUAAUUCCCGCAAGGGUCUCUGUACAGGUGCUGCAUGGCUGUCGUCAGCUCGUGCCGUGAGGUGUUGGGUUAAGUCCCGCAACGAGCGCAACCCUUAUCAUUAGUUGCCAACACGAAAGGUGGGGACUCUAAUGAGACUGCCUGGGUUAACCAGGAGGAAGGUGAGGAUGACGUCAAGUCCGCAUGGCCUUUAUGUCUGGGGCUACACACGUGCUACAAUGGUCGGUACAGAAGGCAGCGAAACCGUGAGGUGGAGCAAAUCCCCAAAACCGAUCCCAGUUCAGAUUGUAGUCUGCAACUCGACUACAUGAAGUUGGAAUUGCUAGUAAUGGCGUGUCAGCAACAACGCCGUGAAUACGUUCCCGGGCCUUGUACACACCGUAGUAC
rnacentral:rRNA from 1 species